GGCCAGUUAGCUUAGUCAGUUGAGCACGGUGCUGAUAACACCAAGGUCGCGGGUUCAAUUCCCAUUUGGUCC
rnacentral:tRNA from 1 species